rnacentral:rRNA from 1 species
GAGUGGAUCCUGAGUACGACGGAGCACGUGAAAUUCCGUCGGAAUCUGGGAGGACCAUCUCCUAAGGCUAAAUACUCUCUAGUGACCGAUAGUGAACCAGUACCGUGAGGGAAAGGUGAAAAGCACCCCGGAAGGGGAGUGAAAUAGAACCUGAAACCGUGUGCUUACAAGUAGUCAGAGCCCGUUAAUGGGUGAUGGCGUGCCUUUUGUAGAAUGAACCGGCGAGUUACGAUUUGAUGCAAGGUUAAGCAGUAAAUGUGGAGCCGUAGCGAAAGCGAGUCUGAAUAGGGCGUUUAGUAUUUGGUCGUAGACCCGAAACCAGGUGAUCUACCCUUGGUCAGGUUGAAGUUCAGGUAACACUGAAUGGAGGACCGAACCGACUUACGUUGAAAAGUGAGCGGAUGAACUGAGGGUAGCGGAGAAAUUCCAAUCGAACCUGGAGAUAGCUGGUUCUCUCCGAAAUAGCUUUAGGGCUAGCCUCAAGUGAUGAUUAUUGGAGGUAGAGCACUGUUUGGACGAGGGGCCCCUCUCGGGUUACCGAAUUCAGACAAACUCCGAAUGCCAAUUAAUUUAACUUGGGAGUCAGAACAUGGGUGAUAAGGUCCGUGUUCGAAAGGGAAACAGCCCAGACCACCAGCUAAGGUCCCAAAAUAUAUGUUAAGUGGAAAAGGAUGUGGCGUUGCCCAGACAACUAGGAUGUUGGCUUAGAAGCAGCCAUCAUUUAAAGAGUGCGUAAUAGCUCACUAGUCGAGUGACACUGCGCCGAAAAUGUACCGGGGCUAAACAUAUUACCGAAGCUGUGGAUUGUCCUUUGGACAAUGGUAGGAGAGCGUUCUAAGGGCGUUGAAGCAUGAUCGUAAGGACAUGUGGAGCGCUUAGAAGUGAGAAUGCCGGUGUGAGUAGCGAAAGACGGGUGAGAAUCCCGUCCACCGAUUGACUAAGGUUUCCAGAGGAAGGCUCGUCCGCUCUGGGUUAGUCGGGUCCUAAGCUGAGGCCGACAGGCGUAGGCGAUGGAUAACAGGUUGAUAUUCCUGUACCACCUAUAAUCGUUUUA